AGCGAACGUUAGCGGCGCGCCUAACACAUGCAAGUCGCACGAGAAACGGAGCAAUCCGCGGUACAGUGGCGCACGGGUGAGUAACACGUGGAUGACCUUCCCUGGAGUGGUGGAUAACCUGCCGAAAGGCGGGCUAAUACAGCAUGGGACCACGACGCUUUGGCGAUGUGGUGAAAGCGGGCCUCUAUAUAUAAGCUCGCGCUCCGGGACGGGUCCGCGUCCCAUCAGCUAGUUGGUGAGGUAACGGCUCACCAAGGCAACGACGGGUAGCUGGUCUGAGAGGAUGGCCAGCCACACUGGAACUGAGACACGGUCCAGACUCCUACGGGAGGCAGCAGUGGGGAAUCUUGCGCAAUGGGCGAAAGCCUGACGCAGCGACGCCGCGUGGGCGAAGAAGGCCUUCGGGUUGUAAAGCCCUGUGGGGGAGAACGAACCGUACGGGGGCGAACACCCUCCGUGCCUGACGGUACUCCUUUAGCAAGCAUCGGCUAACUCUGUG
rnacentral:rRNA from 1 species